rnacentral:rRNA from 1 species
GACAGAGGCCUCAAGCGUUAGGCGGAAUCACUGGGCUUAAAGCGUGUGUAGGCGGACUUCUAAGUGCCUUGUGAAAUCCCAAGGCUCAACCUUGGAACUGCCUUGAUACUGGGGAUCUCGAGUCCGGAAGAGGUUGGUGGACUGCGAGUGUAGAGGUGAAAUUCGUAGAUAUUCGCAAGAACACCAGUGGCGAAGGCGGCCAACUGGUCCGGAACUGACGCUGAGGUGCGAAAGCGUGGGGAG